GGAAACGACUGCUAAUACCCAAUAUGCAGCAAUGUGAAAUAAAUUUUGCCUGAAGAGGAGCUCGCGUCCGAUUAGUUAGUUGGUGAGGUAAGAGCUUACCAAGGCGGCGAUCGGUAGCUGGUCUGAGAGGAUGAGCAGCCACACUGGGACUGAGACACGGCCCAGACUCCUACGGGAGGCAGCAGUGGGGAAUUUUCCGCAAUGGGCGAAAGCCUGACGGAGCAAUACCGCGUGAGGGAGGAAGGCUUUUGGGUUGUAAACCUCUUUUUUUAAGGAAGAAGAAAGUGACGGUACUUAAAGAAUCAGCAUCGGCUAACUCCGUGCCAGCAGCCGCGGUAAUACGGAGGAUGCAAGCGUUAUCCGGAAUCAUUGGGCGUAAAGCGUCCGCAGGUGGCGAUUCAAGUCUGCUGUUAAAGACAGAAGCUUAACUUCUGAAAAGCGGUGGAAACUGGAUAGCUAGAGUACGGUAGGGGUUGAGGGAAUUCCCAGUGUAGCGGUGAAAUGCGUAGAUAUUGGGAAGAACACCAGUGGCGAAGGCGCUCAACUGGGCCGUAACUGACACUCAGGGACGAAAGCU
rnacentral:rRNA from 1 species